CCUACGGGAGGCAGCAGUGAGGAAUAUUGGUCAAUGGCCGGAAGGCUGAACCAGCCAAGCCGCGUGAAGGACGAAGGUGCCAAGCAUUGUAAACUUCUUUUGUCAAGGGACAAAAUCAGGCUCGAGAGCCUGACCGAGGGUACUUGAAGAAAAAGCAUCGGCUAACUCCGUGCCAGCAGCCGCGGUAAUACGGAGGAUGCGAGCGUUAUCCGGAUUUAUUGGGUUUAAGGGGUGCGUAGGCGGACUGUUAAGUCAGCGGUAAAAGCCCGGGGCUCAACCCCGGCGAGCCGUUGAAACUGGCUGUCUUGAGAUGUCGAGAGGUAUGCGGAAUGCGCAGUGUAGCGGUGAAAGGCGUAGAGAUUGCGUAGAACUCCGAUUGCGAAGGCAGCAUACCGGCGGCGAUCUGACGCUGAGGCACGAAAGCGUGGGUAUCGAACAGGAUUAGAUACCCGGGUAGUC
rnacentral:rRNA from 1 species